GAUGAACGCUGGCGGCGUGCCUAAUACAUGCAAGUCGAGCGAACGGACGAGAAGCUUGCUUCUCUGAUGUUAGCGGCGGACGGGUGAGUAGCACGUGGAUAACCUACCUAUAAGACUGGGAUAACUUCGGGAAACCGGAGCUAAUACCGGAUAAUAUUUUGAACCGCAUGGUUCAAAAGUGAAAGACGGUCUUGCUGUCACUUAUAGAUGGAUCCGCGCUGCAUUAGCUAGUUGGUAAGGUAACGGCUUACCAAGGCAACGAUGCAUAGCCGACCUGAGAGGGUGAUCGGCCACACUGGAACUGAGACACGGUCCAGACUCCUACGGGAGGCAGCAGUAGGGAAUCUUCUGCAAUGGGCGAAAGCCUGACGGAGCAACGCCGCGUGAGUGAUGAAGGUCUUCGGAUCGUAAAACUCUGUUAUUAGGGAAGAACAUAUGUGUAAGUAACUGUGCACAUCUUGACGGUACCUAAUCAGAAAGCCACGGCUAACUACGUG
rnacentral:rRNA from 1 species